CCCUUUGGCGCACAUCAGGUCUCACAAGCUGGCUGCUGUCCUCGCGCCGUUCAUCAAUUUUUGCAUUUUAAUGAUAUUUGAACCACGAUGCGACCGCGGACCAGAACCAUAUCGACAUAGCCAACGUGCCUGGUGAUUAUGAUGGGGCCAUGCUUGUGGCUAGAAUCUCAUCUAUGUUAAUUGAUGAAGAUAUAGCCGAAUUUCAAAUGCUCUUUUGCACAUUUUCUUCACAUUUGUAUUGAGUUACAACAAGUCAGCCGCAUAAGUUGAACCCUCUGUUCUUAAAACCGAAAUAAUGUGCGUGUGCAUACAUGUUUUUUCAUGCUAAAAAAAAGAUCAUGCAUGUAAACUUGCAAUAUGAAGAGCCAGUAGUAUAAAAGCUGCGGGGUAGGCCAUCGCAUAUUUUAAGCUACUGUUAAUGUACGUGCGCACUUGCAUUAUAUUUAUAAAAAUAGCAGAUCAUGCAUGCAAGCCAAAAGAAGAAGAGCCAUUAGUAUAAAUAAGGCAGCCAACGAGCCCUGGUAUUCAAUAGAUGUUGCGAUGCGAAAAGUUUUCGAUGAUAUGCUGGAGUUUGCAUUAAAUGAUAGAAGGAUAAUCUAAACAAGGGCUACGAAGCGGGCCGGUACGGACGGUUUAAUAGUGAAUUUGCAUUCGAUGUUAAUAACAGAUCAUAUUAAUAUUAAUAACAGAUCAUGUUAACUUACAUCAGGUGAAGUUCACAAUAUAAAAUGGGCUGCCUAUUGCAGCUGGGCUUCAGUCGGAGCUGCGAGGCGUGCUGGUACGGAUGAUUCAAUAAUUAUUUUAGUUUACAGCAGGUGCAGCCAACAGUAUAUAAAAGGGCUGCCCAUUGCAGCUGGGCUUCAGUCGUAGCUGCGAAGCGGGCCGUUUACAGCAGGUGCUGCACACAGUAUAUAAAGGCCUGCCCAUUGCAGCUGGACUUCAGUCGAAGCUGCGGGGCGGGCGGGUGCAGAUCAUGAGUUAGUGCUAAUGCGCGUGUGUUUUAGUAUAAAAAUAUGAAUAACAGAUCGUGUAUUCAAGCUAAAAAGAAGGAGAGCCAGUAGUAUUAAUAAAGCAGCCAACUAUAAGAAGGCACCAGUUGAAGCUUCGAUGCGACUCAGUACAGAUGGGCUAAUGCGGGUGCAGCCAACAGUAUAUAAAAGGGCUGCACAUUGCAGCUGGGCUUUAGUCGUAGCUGCGAAGCGGGCCGUUUACAGCAGGUGCUGCACACAGUAUAUAAAGGCCUGCCCAUUGCAGCUGGACUUCAGUCGAAGCUGCGGGGCGGGCGGGUGCAGAUCAUGAGUUAGUGCUAAUGCGCGUGUGUGUUAGUAUAAAAUUAUGAAUAACAGAUCGUGCAUGCAAGCUAAAAAGAAGGAGAGCCAGUAGUAUAAAUAAAGCAGCCAACUAUAAGAAGGCACCAGUUGAAGCUGCGAUGCGACUCAGUACAGAUUGGCUAAUGCAGGUGAAGCCGACAGUAUAUAAAGGGUUGCCCAUUGCAGUUGUGCUUCAGUCGAGGCUACGAAGCGGGCAGGUACGGAUGGUCCAAAGUUUACAGCAGGUGCAGCCAAGAGUAUAUAAAGGGCGUCCAUUUGUAGCUGGGCUUCAGUCGAAGCUGCGAUGCGGGCCGUUGCAGAUCUGCAGUUAGUGUUAAUGUACGUGUGUGCUAAUAUAAAUUUAUGAAUAACAGAUCGUGUAUGCAAGCUAAGAUGAAGAAGGGCCAGUAACCCACUCAAACUAGGCUGCAAUUGAAGCUGCGAAAAGACCCGGUACGGAUGAUCUGAUGCCAACAGUAUAUAAAGGGCUGCGCAUUACAGUUAAGAUUUUAAAAUGAUCAUGAAUAGAAGCCAGCAAUAUGCAUAAAGGUAGCCGCACACAGAUGUCUACGAUUUUAUUACAAUAUGCUAGCUGCCUUGGAAAGAGUAUUUGAGGUGUUAUAUAAACGCAAAUUUGAGCGCAGCUCGGAAUCAACCGCGGAUUUGUGUCUAUUUUGGUUGGGUACAAGCUGUGACGAUGUGUGUCGGCCACUGUGCACCCUUCGUUAAAUUGAAAUAUAAUUAAUUUUUGGUGUGCAUUUGAGUCUUUUGCCAGGCAGCUCAAUUCCCAGCGCAGUGCAUAAAUUAUUAAACAAAGUGGAUAUCGAAAAACAGCAAAACACAAUACUCCACGGAGACGGACUGCGGAUAUUUUGCUAAGUAAUAUAUGGAUAGUAAAUUGAAGGCACAUAACCGAUUCCAACGCUCAUUCCGUAUGAGAGCAUGCAACCGCUAUUCCCGAGGGAAAUUUUUGAAAUCUAAGCUCGGACCAGCCAGGGGCCAUGUUUUGCCAGCCGCCAGCAUUUCAACUGGUGGACUGCCAAAGUAACAAACAAGUAGAUUACAUUGUGGCAGCUGUUGACGGCGUACCAGGCCCGAUGGCUGUCCUUGAAAAAGCCAAUCGUUUUAUUGCCAGCGCAGAUUGGCCAUAAAAAUGUCACCUGUGACUUGCGACUGACUGCAAGAAAUCAAAUGAAUUCAAGCAGUUGCCAAGCUGCUGCCGCCAGCCCCGCUAACCUAUUUGGCCCACGACUUGGCCAGGAAAAUCGCACGCACACGCACACACUUUGCUAUGCAUAAUUUAUGCAAAACUAACAAAGCAAUAAAACGCUGCAAUAAAAACGAUAGCAAAAUAAGAAAUGAAAAGCGCGAUACCUUCUUCUUCUACUCUACAAAGUAUGCUACAUAAAUUUUAGUGAUUUGCAAUCUCAAAGCAACACAACCGGGCAGCUAUAGCUUUUAACGGGCUAUUUGUUUUACAGGGUAUUAAAGCAAACGAAGCUUGAAAUGUUUUUGCACAAAUUAUCACUGCCAAUGCAGUACACGUCUACAGAGAGUAAACACUUCACCCCCGCCGCUAUUAACCCUGCCGGGCCACCGCGCUGGCAGCUUGUUUGAUCUAAAUGCAAAUAUACAUCAGGUAACAUCAGAGAUGGAAGUACCUUGG